rnacentral:rRNA from 1 species
CAGCCGCGGUAAUACGGAGGGGGUAGGCGUUAUCUGGAAUGAUUGGGCGUAAAGUGUCCGUAGGUGGGUUUUGUUGUUUAAAGAAAAAUAUUUUGGUUUAUACUAAAAAAUUCUUAAAAUACACUUUUCCUAGAGUUUUGCAAAGGAAAAUAGAAUUUUAUAAAUAGAGGUGAAAUUCAGUGAUUUAUAAAGGAAUGCCAGUGGCGAAAGCGAUUUUCUAGGUUUAAACUGACGCUAAGGGACGAAAGCAUAGGGAGCAAACAGGAUUUGAUACCCUGGUAGUCUAUGCUGUCAAAUAUGAGUAUUAAUAUUAAAUGAAAUUUUAUUAUAAAGCUAACGCGUAAAUACUCCGCCUGGGGAGUACGAUCGCAAGAUUGGAACCCAAAGGAAUUGACGGGGGUCUACACAAGUGGUGGAGCAUGUGGUUUAAUUCGAUG